UUUUACGUCGGCCUUCGCGAGCGUCUGGGCGGGUGGUAGGUGAGUGGGUAUUGCGGGCUAGUAUCCGAGCAAAAGAUGGUGGCGCAGGCCGAGUUAAGAGCUUUAAUCCUGUGAAGACAUCUUAGUGAAGAGUUUAGAGUGCUGAGAGUUGAAAGCUUGCACGUGGGAAACGUGCGGCCGGACUGCCACAUGUACUGAGGUUGAGUCGUGACGGCCACAGGCUCCGAGUUUUGGCGUGAGGAACCGCUGAUCGGCCACGGGCGCCGAACUUGCUGGCCUCCGGCAUGUGCCUGAGCGGCGGCGGAAAAACCACCUUAAUUGGGGCGGAGGGUUAGUUUUAACAGCAAAGGGCCUUUACUAAAAUGGCGAAGGCCUUCCGUCGGCGUUGUUUUAAAAUGGGAAGCCUCGACCCUGUAUUGAAACUGAGCUGUUCGAAGGCGGCGUUGUGUGCAAUUCGGAUUAAUGAAGGGGAAGGGUUUUGUGUGGAAAAACGCCUUGGAGUGUGACAUUUCUGCGAGAAUGCUUAAAUACCGAUUUCCCGCAGGAACAAUGGCGCUGUCUUCAGUGGCACAGUGGAGCAGCUCUGAAGAUGCAAAGAUACACGAAAAAACUUCCAGAACAUCUGGGAGAAUAUUUAAUGGAAAAUCGCUUGGUUAAAACCUGACACUUUUAACAGUGAACAGCGUUCUGAGUGUGGACGAGUAGCCAGUGAAGAUAAUGAAUGUCGAAUGUGACUGACUAGCAGCUUCAUUUUGAAUGAGGGUCGCUGUCUGCCCAUUGAUAGAGGCCAGAUUGUCUUGGAAGUUCCAAAGUUGCAACGAUUUCUGUAAUGCCACGAGGUUUACUUGACUGUUGUGUGAAAAGCUGAUAAGAAAACCAUCCAGAAAAAAGCUCUUCGUUUUACAAACAUGAAAAUAAAACAUGUAAUUUUGGA
rnacentral:lncRNA from 1 species